UGGUAGAUUUUUUCGAACACAGUUAACUCUGGACAUCGUACGUUGAUUAAAUAAAAAAACCUACUUUUUCUUUAAUUAUUUCAAAGAAAAAUACUUCCCUGUGUCAGUUUAUUGUUUAAUUAAUCAUUUAUUUAUAAAUAAUUUUAUCCCAGUGCCGCAGGAAAUGUAAAAACAAAGAAAAUACGUUGCAUAAAAAGUAUAUUCUUCCAAUUGUUAAUUUUUUCGUUUUUUUAUGUUUUUUCAUUCAAGCUCAACGCAACGAAAAAGAAUAAAUAAUUUAAUAUAUAUUAUUUUAUGUAUAUGCAAAGAAAAUCUAGAAGCUGCACAUUAUAAUAACAAAUAAGAAGAAAAGACAGCAUUAUUAAUCACACAAAAGUAAAAAAUCCAUCGAUUUGUGCACCAAGAGCAUUUUUCUCUUAAACUCUUCUUCUUUAUAUAUGUAAUAAAAGAAUCCAUUGAAAAAUUUGUGUAAAUUAUCGACAUAACCGGAAAGUGAGUGGUGGGUUAACGUAAUUAUUAAGAGAAUAAAGGUUAAAAAAAAGUAAGAAACGUGAACAAAAAUUAACUAAUCAACGAAACAUCCAAAAUGACGCAAGUUCUGCCCAUACGCUUUCAGGAGCACUUACAGCUCACAAAUGUUGGGAUCAACAUCAGUUCAAUAUCAUUCAGCACUCUUACCAUGGAGUCUGAUAAAUUCAUUUGCGUGCGGGAAAAGGUCAAUGAAACUGCACAAGUUGUUAUUAUCGACAUGAACGACUCGAGCAAUCCAACUCGUCGUCCAAUUUCUGCCGAUUCAGCUAUCAUGAAUCCAGCUAGUAAAGUUAUUGCCCUUAAAGCGCAAAAAACUUUACAAAUUUUCAAUAUUGAGAUGAAAUCAAAAAUGAAAGCUCAUACAAUGACUGAAGAUGUUGUAUUUUGGAAAUGGAUUUCCUUAAACACAUUGGCUUUGGUAACAGAAACUUCGGUUUAUCAUUGGUCAAUGGAGGGUGAUUCAACUCCUGUUAAGAUGUUCGAUAGACAUUCCUCAUUGAAUGGUUGCCAAAUCAUCAAUUACCGGUGUAAUCCAUCACAACAAUGGCUUCUUUUAGUUGGAAUAUCUGCAUUGCAACAUCGUGUUGCUGGUGCAAUGCAAUUGUAUUCUGUAGAACGGAAAGUUUCUCAAGCUAUUGAAGGUCAUGCAGCUUCAUUUGCCAGCUUUAAAAUGGAAGGCAACAAGGAAGCUUCAACACUUUUUUGUUUUGCUGUUCGUUCAGCACAAGGAGGAAAGUUGCAUAUUAUUGAAGUUGGUACUCCUCCAGCAGGCAAUCAGCCUUUCCCCAAGAAGUCUGUUGAUGUUUUCUUCCCACCUGAAGCCCAAAGCGAUUUCCCGGUGGCCAUGCAAGUUUCCGCAAAAUACGAUACUAUCUAUUUGAUCACCAAAUAUGGUUAUAUUCAUCUGUAUGACAUGGAAUCGGCUACAUGCAUCUACAUGAAUCGUAUAUCAGCCGAUACGAUUUUCGUUACAGCUCCGCAUGAAGCCAGUGGCGGAAUCAUUGGUGUAAACCGUAAGGGUCAGGUGCUCUCGGUGACCGUAGAUGAUGAGCAAAUCAUUCCAUAUAUUAACACUGUGUUGCAGAACCCGGAUCUAGCACUUAGAAUGGCAGUAAGGAACAAUUUGUCUGGAGCAGAAGAACUUUUUGUGAGGAAGUUCAAUAAGCUCUUCACUGGUGGGCAAUAUGCCGAGGCGGCUAAAGUAGCUGCCCUCGCUCCAAAGGGUAUUCUUCGAACACCUCAGACAAUUCAACGUUUCCAACAGGUGCAGACACCAGCUGGCUCAACAACACCACCUCUUCUGCAAUACUUUGGAAUUCUUCUAGACCAAGGAAAGCUUAACAAAUACGAGUCUUUGGAGCUUUGUCGUCCAGUUUUGGUGCAGGGCAAGAAGCAAUUGUGUGAGAAAUGGUUGAAAGAGGAGAAACUAGAAUGCAGUGAAGAACUUGGUGACUUAGUGAAGAAUUCUGAUCUGACGUUGGCUUUGUCGAUUUACUUGCGUGCCAAUGUUCCUAACAAGGUAAUUCAGUGUUUCGCAGAAAGUGGCCAGUUUCAGAAAAUUGUUCUGUAUGCAAAGAAGGUGAACUAUACUCCCGACUAUAUUUUCUUAUUGCGUUCAGUGAUGCGUAGCAAUCCAGACCAAGGGCCUGGGUUUGCCUCUAUGCUGGUCGGAGAAGAAGAACCUCUGGCGGACAUUAACCAGAUCGUGGAUAUUUUCAUGGAACAUUCGAUGGUGCAACAAUGUACUGCUUUCCUGCUGGACGCACUGAAACACAACCGUCCGAACGAGGGUCCUCUACAGACCCGUCUCUUGGAAAUGAAUCUGCACUCAGCUCCACAGGUGGCAGACGCUAUCCUUGGUAAUGCUAUGUUCACUCAUUAUGACCGUGCCCACAUUGCCCAGCUUUGUGAGAAGGCAGGUUUACUGCAACGUGCUUUGGAACAUUAUACAGAUCUCUACGACAUCAAGCGUGCCGUUGUCCAUACUCAUCUCUUAAACGCUGACUGGCUUGUCGGAUUUUUCGGAACUCUAUCAGUAGAAGAUUCUCUGGAGUGCUUAAAGGCGAUGUUGACCGCUAACAUCAGACAGAACUUACAAAUCUGUGUCCAGAUCGCCACUAAAUACCAUGAACAAUUAACAACAAAGGCGCUGAUUGAUCUCUUCGAGAGCUUCAAGAGUUACGAGGGUCUAUUUUAUUUCCUCGGCUCAAUAGUGAAUUUCAGCCAAGACCCUGAAGUCCAUUUCAAGUAUAUUCAAGCGGCAUGCAAGACCACACAGAUCAAGGAAGUAGAAAGAAUCUGUCGUGAAUCGAAUUGCUAUAAUCCCGAGCGCGUUAAGAAUUUCCUCAAAGAAGCAAAGCUCACCGAUCAACUACCACUGAUUAUAGUGUGUGAUCGUUUUGACUUCGUCCAUGAUUUAGUUUUAUACUUGUACCGUAACAACUUGCAGAAAUACAUUGAGAUCUACGUGCAGAAGGUUAAUCCCUCUAGGUUGCCAGUGGUUGUUGGAGGAUUGCUGGAUGUCGAUUGUUCGGAGGAUAUUAUCAAAAACCUUAUACUGGUAGUGAAAGGACAAUUCUCCACCGAUGAACUUGUCGAGGAGGUUGAAAAGCGCAAUCGUCUUAAGCUACUCCUUCCCUGGUUGGAGUCUCGAGUUCAUGAAGGAUGUGUCGAAGCAGCCACCCAUAACGCUUUGGCUAAAAUUUAUAUUGAUUCAAAUAACAAUCCUGAAAGGUUCCUUAAAGAAAACCAAUAUUAUGAUAGCCGUGUUGUUGGGCGUUAUUGUGAGAAACGUGAUCCUCAUUUAGCUUGUGUGGCCUAUGAACGUGGGCAGUGCGAUCGUGAAUUAAUCGCCGUGUGUAAUGAAAAUUCCCUAUUCAAGAGUGAAGCUCGGUACUUAGUGCGUCGUAGAGACCCUGAGCUUUGGGCUGAGGUUCUGGCUGAAUCGAAUCCCUACAAGCGCCAACUUAUUGACCAAGUUGUACAGACUGCUCUUUCAGAGACACAAGACCCCGAUGACAUCUCUGUUACUGUUAAGGCAUUUAUGACAGCUGAUUUGCCUAACGAAUUGAUUGAGCUCCUCGAAAAAAUCGUUCUCGAUUCUAGUGUCUUCUCUGAUCAUCGUAACUUGCAAAAUCUGCUUAUAUUAACGGCAAUCAAGGCUGAUCGUACAAGAGUCAUGGACUACAUCAACCGUUUGGACAACUACGAUGCUCCUGAUAUUGCCAACAUCGCCAUCUCCAAUCAAUUGUACGAGGAGGCAUUUGCUAUUUUCAAGAAGUUCGAUGUAAACACAUCGGCCAUUCAAGUUUUGAUCGAGCAAGUUAACAACUUGGAACGCGCAUAUGAAUUCGCAGAACGUUGCAAUGAGCCAGCGGUAUGGUCUCAGCUUGCUAAAGCACAAUUGCAACAGGGGCUGGUUAAGGAAGCUAUUGACAGUUACAUCAAAGCCGAUGAUCCAAGUGCAUAUAUGGACGUGGUUGAAACUGCUUCGGGAGUUCAAUCGUGGGAUGACUUGGUUCGCUAUCUACAGAUGGCCAGAAAGAAGGCACGAGAAAGUUAUAUUGAAAGCGAGCUCAUCUAUGCCUAUGCUCGAACUGGCCGUUUAGCUGAUCUCGAAGAGUUUAUUUCAGGUCCAAACCAUGCCGAUAUUCAAAAAAUUGGUGAUCGUUGUUUCUCCGAUGGAAUGUACGAUGCUGCGAAGCUGCUCUAUAACAAUGUUAGCAACUUCGCACGUUUGGCCAUCACAUUGGUAUAUCUGAAGGAGUUCCAAGGUGCUGUUGACAGUGCACGGAAGGCAAACUCCACUCGCACAUGGAAAGAAGUUUGCUUUGCAUGUGUUGAUGCAGAGGAGUUCCGAUUGGCACAGAUGUGCGGCCUCCAUAUUGUGGUACACGCUGAUGAACUGGAAGAUCUCAUCAAUUACUAUCAAGACCGCGGUUACUUUGAUGAGUUAAUUGCUUUGCUAGAGUCUGCAUUGGGUCUAGAACGCGCCCAUAUGGGAAUGUUCACUGAGCUUGCCAUUCUUUACUCCAAGUUCAAACCAUCGAAAAUGCGUGAACACUUGGAACUUUUCUGGUCACGUGUAAAUAUCCCAAAAGUAUUACGUGCCGCCGAAUCAGCACACUUGUGGUCAGAGUUGGUGUUCCUCUAUGAUAAGUACGAGGAGUAUGACAACGCUGUGCUAGCCAUGAUGGCUCAUCCAACAGAAGCAUGGCGUGAAGGACACUUCAAAGACAUUAUCACAAAGGUGGCCAACAUUGAGUUGUACUAUAAAGCAAUUCAGUUCUAUCUAGACUACAAACCAUUGUUGUUGAACGACAUGUUGCUGGUAUUGGCUCCACGAAUGGAUCAUACACGGGCUGUUAGUUUCUUUUCGAAAACCGGGCAUUUGCAACUCGUCAAACCAUAUUUGCGUUCAGUUCAGAGUCUCAAUAACAAAGCUAUUAAUGAAGCUUUGAAUGGUCUGCUAAUUGAAGAAGAGGACUAUCAAGGACUGAGAAACUCAAUAGACGGAUUCGAUAAUUUCGAUACUAUUGCACUUGCGCAGAAACUUGAGAAACACGAACUUACCGAGUUUAGGAGAAUCGCCGCGUAUUUGUAUAAAGGAAACAAUCGUUGGAAGCAGAGUGUGGAACUAUGCAAGAAAGACAAACUUUUCAAGGAUGCAAUGGAAUAUGCCGCUGAGUCAGGCAAACAAGAGAUUGCCGAAGAGUUGCUCGGAUGGUUCUUGGAACGAAAUGCCUUCGAUUGCUUUGCUGCUUGUUUAUUCCAGUGUUACGACCUCCUCCGACCGGAUGUUAUUCUCGAAUUGGCCUGGAAACACAAUAUUAUGGACUUUGCAAUGCCAUAUCUAAUUCAAGUCAUCCGUGAAUAUACCACAAAAGUGGACAAACUCGAACAGACCGAAGCCCAAAGGGAAAAAGAAGAUGAAACUGUUGAACACAAGAAUAUUAUUACAAUGGAACCGCAAUUAAUGAUAACAGCUGGUCCUGGAAUGGGAAUUCCUCCUCAGUAUGCCCAAAACUAUGCACCUGGAUAUGCGCCAAACAUGACAUACCAGGGAUAUGGAAUGUAGGCACUUAACAAACAAACCUACAAAACUUUAACUCAUUUCUUCUACAAUCCAACAAAAAAACAAACAAAUUUAUGAAAUUAAAUGAAAACAAACAAUAAUCAAACAACAACAAAAAUACAUCUUCUCUGUCCGACAAUUUUAUUAUGCGAGUUGUUUUAAAUGUCGCAACUGUACUGUUAACAAAAAAAAACGAAAAUCAAUUCCAGAUGAAUAUAAAAAAAUACAUAUAUACGUCAUUUAUAUGUUUAUGUUGAUUGAUCUGUGUUAUGAUGUGUGCAUAAUGCUAGAUUGCACUUUUUAGUUGAAUAACUAUUCGACUUGUUUUGGUAUAAAUAAGUUAAAGGAGCUUGAAAACACACGCUGUAGCUCGUGAGUAAGUAAGUGUUGUAAUUAAUUUAUCAUUGAAAACAUCUGCGAACAUCCCAACUAUAAAGAAGUUAACUUUCUGUGUAACAAGAAAACCAAAAUAAACAGAUGCCGUUUUUUCGAAAAAAAAAAAAUAAAAUAAAAAUAAAGUAAUAACUAGCAAAUAUAAUUUACCAUCAACCUAAAACAAAAAAUAUAUA